UUUUAGCGGCAUUAAAUAUUGACAUUAAUAAAGAGUGCUAAAGUCUUUACCGGUAUUAGUUAAGUGUCAUUAGAACCAAUGUAGCUAAAGGCUUUAGGGACCUAUAUAAAGAGUGUCAAUUGCCGCUAAAA